rnacentral:rRNA from 1 species
UACAGAGGGUGCGAGCGUUAAUCGGAAUUACUGGGCGUAAAGCGCGCGUAGGCGGCUUUUCAAGUCGAUUGUGAAAUCCCCGGGCUUAACCUGGGAACUGCAGUCGAGACUGUCUAGCUAGAGUAUGGCAGAGGAAGGUGGAAUUCCACGUGUAGCGGUGAAAUGCGUAGAGAUGUGGAGGAACACCGAUGGCGAAGGCAGCCUUCUGGGCCAACACUGACGCUCAUGCACGAAAGCGUGGGGAGCAAACAGG